rnacentral:RNase_P_RNA from 1 species
GGAGUGGAUCGGGAGGUCGCUCCCCGAUACAUAUCGGGGGGAGGAAAGUCCGGACUCCAUAGGGCGGCGCAGCCUCGAAACGAGGUCCACCGCGAGGUGCGGACAAGUGCAACAGAAAGGAUGUACAGGCCCCGGUAUCUACGAGGGGUGCUGUAGUGAAAUCAGGUAAACUCUGCGCGGAGCAAGACCAAAUAGGGAAGCGUCUGAGGACGGCCCGUCCGAGCUUCCGGGUAGGUCGCAAAGAUAAAUGAUCUCCGCCGCCGGCGAACGCCGGUGGAACAGAAUCCGGCUUACAGAUCCGCUCCAUCC